rnacentral:rRNA from 1 species
CACGUGGGUGACCUGCCUUCGAGUGGGGGAUAACGUCCCGAAAGGGACGCUAAUACCGCAUAACAUGCUGUCUUUUAAGAGAGAGACAUCAAAGCCGGGGACCGCAAGGCCUGGCGCUUGAAGAGGGGCCCGCGCCUGAUUAGCUAGUUGGUGGGGUAAUGGCUCACCAAGGCAACGAUCAGUAUCCGGCCUGAGAGGGCGGACGGACACACUGGGACUGAGACACGGCCCAGACUCCUACGGGAGGCAGCAGUGGGGAAUUGUUCGCAAUGGGCGCAAGCCUGACGACGCAACGCCGCG